CUUUUUAGUAUGGGAGAUUUUGUUACUUGGAGUAAAUUAGAGUGUUCAAAGCAACCAGUUAAACCAUUUUACUGCGUUUGAAUACUACAGCAUGGAAUAACAAAAUUGAACAAGUCAGAAUUCUGUUCUUUUUUCUUAUUUUGGCUUAGUUACGAUUAAUAGGAGUAGCUUGGGGGCAUUUGUAUUCAGAUGUCAGAGGUGAAAUUCUUAGAUUUUCUGGAGACAAACAACUGCGAAAGCAUUUGCCUAAAAUAUUUCCAUUAAUCAAGAACGAAAGUUAAGGGAGUGAAGACGAUCAGAUACCGUCGUAAUCUUAACCAUAAACUAUGCCGACUAGGUUUUGGAUGAAAAAUUUUUAAAUAAGAAAAUUCCUUUCGGGGAAAUUUCUUAGAUUGCUUCCUUCAGUACCUUAUGAGAAAUCAAAGUCUUUGGGUUCUGGGGCGAGUAUUCGCGCAAGCGAGAAAGUUAAAAGAAUUGACGGAAGGGCACCACCAGGCGUGGAGCUUGCGGCUUAAUUUGACUCAACACGGGGAAACUCACUAGUUUAAGACAAGAGUAGGAUUGACAGAUUAAUAGCUCUUUCUUGAUUUCUUGGAUGGUGAUGCAUGGCCGUUUUUAGUUCGUGAAUAUGAUUUGUCUGGUUAAUUCCGAUAACGAACGAGAUCUUAACCUGCUAAUUAGCGGCGAAUACGUCUAUAUUCUUAUCUGAAAUUGAAUAUAGCUGAAUUGCUAUUUGAAGAU
rnacentral:rRNA from 1 species